UACGUAGGGUGCGAGCGUUAAUCGGAAUUACUGGGCGUAAAGCGUGCGCAGGCGGUAAGUUAAGUCUGAUGUGAAAGCCCCGGGCUCAACCUGGGAAUGGCAUUGGAAACUGGCUUGCUAGAGUGUGGCAGAGGGGGGUGGAAUUCCGCGUGUAGCAGUGAAAUGCGUAGAGAUGCGGAGGAACACCGAUGGCGAAGGCAGCCCCCUGGGUCAAGAUUGACGCUCAUGCACGAAAGCGUGGGGAGCAAACAGGG
rnacentral:rRNA from 1 species